rnacentral:tRNA from 1 species
GGGCUCGUGGUCUAGCCGGUAUGACGUCGCCUUGACAUGGCGGAGGUCAGGAGUUCGAAUCUCCUCGAGCCCA